rnacentral:rRNA from 1 species
ACGCUGGCGGCGUGCUUAACACAUGCAAGUCGAACGGUGAACCAGAGCUUGCUCUGGGGAUCAGUGGCGAACGGGUGAGUAACACGUGGGCAACCUGCCCCAGACUCUGGGAUAACCCCGGGAAACCGGAGCUAAUAUCGGAUAUGACCACUUCGGACAUCCGAUGGUGGUGGAAAGUUUUUCGGUCUGGGAUGGGCCCGCGGCCUAUCAGCUAGUUGGUGGGGUAAUGGCCUACCAAGGCGACGACGGGUAGCCGGCCUGAGAGGGCGACCGGCCACACUGGAACUGAGACACGGUCCAGACUCCUACGGGAGGCAGCAGUGGGGAAUAUUGCACAAUGGGCGAAAGCCUGAUGCAGCGACGCCGCGUGAGGGACGACGGCCUUCGGGUUGUAAACCUCUUUCAGCAGGGACGAAGCGAAAGUGACUGUACCUGCAAAGAAGCACCGGCUAACUACGUG